AACUUUUGGCAAUGGAUCUCUUGGUUCUGGCAUCGAUGAAGAACGCAGCGAAAUGCGAAAGUAAUGUGAAUUGCAGAAUUCAGUGAAUCAUCGAAUCUUUGAACGCACAUUGCGCCCGCCAGUAUUCUGGCGGGCAUGCCUGUCCGAGCGUCAUUUCAACCAUCAAGCCCCGGGCUUGUGUUGGGGACCUGCGUCUGACGCAGGCCCUGAAAACCAGUGGCGGGCUCGCUGUCCACACCGAGCGUAGUAACUAACCUCGCUAUGGAGUGGCGCGGGCGCCUGCCGUAAACCCCCCAAUUUUACAAGGUUGACCUCGGAUCAGGUAGGAAUACCCGCUGAACUUAAGCAUAUCAAUAAGCGGAGGCU
rnacentral:misc_RNA from 1 species